AGAAUACGAGACGCUAAGGCGUCGAAGUAGUGUAUGUCAUACUUCCAAGAAAAGCUUGCACUGUCAUAGAUAAAAAACGCCUGUACCAUAACCGACACAGGUGGGUAGGUAGAGUAUACUAAGGGGCGCGAGAUAACUCUCUCUAAGGAACUCGGCAAAAUAACUCCGUAACUUCGGGUGAAGGAGUGCCUUAUUCGUAAGGUUGCAAUAACAAGAUCCAAGCAACUGUUUAUCAAAAACACAGGUCUCCGCUAAGUCGUAAGACGAUGUAUGGGGGCUGACGCCUGCCCAGUGCCAGAAGGUUAAAGAAGUUGGUUAGCAAUUGCGAAGCUGAUAACUAAAGCCCUGGUGAACGGCGGCCGUAACGAUAACGGUCCUAAGGUAGCGAAAUUCCUUGUCGGGUAAGUUCCGACCCGCACGAAAGGCGUAAUGAUUUGGAUACUGUCUCGGAGAGGGGCUCGGUGAAAUAGACUUGUCUGUGAAGAUGCGGACUACCUGCACCGGGACAGAAAGACCCUAUGAAGCUUUACUGUAACUUGAAAUUGAAAUUGGACUUUAUUCGCGCAGUAUAGGUGGGAGGCGUUGAUUAUAAUCUUGUGGGAUUAUUGGAGCCAUCAGUGAGAUACCACUCUUGUAAUGUUAGAUUUCUAACUUUGAAUCAUUAUCUGGUCAAAGAACAGUUUCAGGCGGGCAGUUUGACUGGGGCGGUCGCCUCCUAAACGGUAACGGAGGCGUACAAAGGUUUCCUCUGAACGGUUAGAAAUCGUAUCUAGAGUGUAAAGGCAUAAGGAAGCUUGACUGUGAGACCUACAAGUCGAGCAGGGACGAAAGUCGGUCUUAGUGAUCUGACGGUACUGAGUGGAAAGGCCGUCACUCAACGGAUAAAAGUUACUCUAGGAUAACAGGCUGAUCUCCCCCAAGAGUUCACAUCGACGGGGAGGUUUGGCACCUCGAUGUCGGCUCAUCGCAUCCUGGGGCGGUAGUACGUCCCAAGGGUUGGGCUGUUCGCCCAUGAAAGCGGUACGCGAGCUGGGUUCAGAACGUCGUGAGACAGUUCGGUCCAUAUCCGGUGUAGGCGUUAGAAUAUUGAGAGGAGCCUUCUUUAGUACGAGAGGACCGAGAAGGACAUACCUCUGGUGUACCAGUUAUCGUGCCAACGGUAAACGCUGGGUAGCUAUGUAUGGAGUGGAUAACCGCUGAAAGCAUCUAAGUGGGAAGCCCACCUCAAGAUAAGUAUUC
rnacentral:rRNA from 1 species